GGGGGUGAAUCAGUUUCGAUUGGGCGACCGAGAUAAAUCGUAAGCAUACCGAAGGUCCGGCUUCGUUAAAACGGAACCUUAAAUUUAAAUGCUAAUAAUCAAAAAUUAGCUUACGCAGCGUAAUUGCGUUCGUCUUUCCGAAAAUUCCCGUCGUUUUCGGAGUAGGCGUCAGUAAGACGGGUAAUAUUUUCAGAAUCGAGCCGCGUUUUGGGAAUAUAAUUUAGCGGUUAUGAGGAAGUUAUAGGUUUCCGACGACCGUAACUUUUUCGAGAUCUAACGUUGGAUAAGUAUGUAGAAAGUUUUAUCAAAGCGUUCAAGACCGGAGUGCAAGUCUCCGCAUCUCCACCA
rnacentral:tmRNA from 1 species